rnacentral:tRNA from 1 species
GCCGCUUCGUGUACUUGCGGCGCUCUACCGGAAUCCCCUCCAGAUUCUUUCGUAAACCGUAGGUCUCGAGUUCGAAUCUCGAAGGCGGCUCCA